AGAUCGUUAGUUGAGCUGUGAUUGGUUGCUGUGGAAAAAUUCACUCCACUUUUUCUCUCACAGUUUGUUAAAUCUGGGCCAUAGUCUCCUUCAGAACACUGCUUCUAGGCCAGGGUAUCUCCAUACUACAGCACAGAUUUUUUCUGAUUGUCAUAACUGGAUUAGGGAAGAAAUGAGCAAUUGUCAUCCUUUUACUUUCCUAUGGAUGCAUCAUAGCAAUAUACGAAUGAAGAGAAAAACAUAUCGGCAGGUGGCUGAGACGACUGUUUAUAUAUAAAAAAAUUUCCCCUUUCGCAUUAGUGCACCCCAUUGCUAGACUAGAGAGGAUAUCCGGUGUCCACAGAAGCAAUCAGUCAGAUUCCAGACUCUCCACCAAGGCCAAGACCAAAGAGCUGCCUAAGGAUGUCAGGGACAAAAUUGUAGAACUACACAUGGCUGAAAUGAACUACAUGACCAUCACAAUGCCACUAGGCACUCCAUGCAAGAUCUCAACUCAUGGAGUUCCAAUGAUCAUAAGAAUGGUGAGGAAUCAGCCCAGAACUAGCCAGGAAUAUCUUGUCAAUAAUCUCAAGCCAGCUGGGAUCAUAGUCACCAAGAAAACAAUGGGUAACACACUACUGAAAUCCUACAGUGCCCACAAGGUCUUACUGGUCAAGAAAGCACACCCUCACGCCUGUCUAAAGUGUGGCAAUAAAAAUAAAAAAAAAUU